AUGGUCAAGUGACCAGCGCUGCAGAAGAGGAAGGGACAGAGAAAGAGAGAGGCACCUGAACUGGAAAAUUCUGUGGGCAGCGCUGAAAGCAGGAGCUGCGAAUGCCAGCUGCCAGCGUUUCUCCGUGGUCGCCCUUCCUUCUGCCGUGAUGGUACAGGACAGACGGAAAGAAUCCGGAGUGCUCUGCGAGUACGAGCACAUGCAGGGCGUGCGCUUUCACGUGCGUUUCGCGGAUAAUGAAGCAAAGGUCACUCAUGGGACACAACGGCCUCGAGAACUGAGAACGAGCGAGCUCACGGCACGAGUGGCAGAACCGACCUGUCUUCACAAGACAGU